ACGAACGCUGGCGGCAGGCCUAACACAUGCAAGUCGAACGAGAAGCCACCUUCGGGUGGUGGAAAGUGGCAGACGGGUGAGUAACGCGUGGGAACGUGCCUUUCGGUUCGGGAUAACCCAGGGAAACUUGGGCUAAUACCGGAUACGCCCUUCGGGGGAAAGAUUCAUCGCCGAAAGAUCGGCCCGCGUCGGAUUAGCUAGUUGGUGGGGUAAAAGCCUACCAAGGCGACGAUCCGUAGCUGGUCUGAGAGGAUGAUCAGCCACACUGGGACUGAGACACGGCCCAGACUCCUACGGGAGGCAGCAGUGGGGAAUAUUGGACAAUGGGCGAAAGCCUGAUCCAGCCAUGCCGCGUGGGUGAAGAAGGCCUUAGGGUUGUAAACCCCUUUCAGCGGGGAAGAUAAUGACGGUACCCGCAGAAGAAGUCCCGGCUAACUCCGU
rnacentral:rRNA from 1 species